rnacentral:misc_RNA from 1 species
GAAAAGCGAUAAGUAAUGUGAAUUGCAGAAUUCAGUGAAUCAUCGAAUCUUUGAACGCACCUUGCGCUCCUUGGUAUUCCUUGGAGCAUGCCUGUUUGAGUAUCAUGAAAUCUUCAAAGUAAAUCUUUUGUUAACUCAAUUGGUUUCUACUUUGGUAUUGGAGGUCUUUGCAGCUUCACACCUGCUCCUCUUUGUUCAUUAGCUGGAUCUCAGUGUUAUGCUUGGUUCCACUCGGCGUGAUAAGUUAUCUAUCGCUGAGGACACUGUAAAAGGUGGCCAAGGUAAAUGCAGAUGAACCGCUUCUAAUAGUCCAUUGACUUGGACAAUACUUUUAUGAUCUGAUCUCAAAUCAGGUAGGACUACCCGCUGAACUUAAGC